rnacentral:rRNA from 1 species
UGGGGAAUUUUGGACAAUGGGCGCAAGCCUGAUCCAGCAAUGCCGCGUGAGUGAAGAAGGCCUUCGGGUUGUAAAGCUCUUUUGUCAGGGAAGAAACGGCGCCGGCUAAUAUCCGGCGCUAAUGACGGUACCUGAAUAAUAAGCACCGGCUAACUUCGUGCCAGCAGCCGCGGUAAGACGAAGGGGGCAAGCGUUGUUCGGAAUUACUGGGCGUAAAGGGCGCGUAGGCGGCCGCGUAAGUCAGGUGUGAAAGCCCUGGGCUCAACCUGGGAAUGGCACUUGAUACUGUGAGGCUAGAGAGUGGGAGAGGUUGGUGGAAUUCCCAGUGUAGAGGUGAAAUUCGUAGAUAUUGGGAAGAACACCGGUGGCGAAGGCGGCCAACUGGACCAUUUCUGACGCUGAGGCGCGAAAGCGUGGGGAGCAAA